rnacentral:rRNA from 1 species
AGAUUGAACGCUGGCGGCAGGCCUAACACAUGCAAGUCGAGCGGCAGCACGGGUACUUGUACCUGGUGGCGAGCGGCGGACGGGUGAGUAAUGCCUAGGAAUCUGCCUGGUAGUGGGGGAUAACGCUCGGAAACGGACGCUAAUACCGCAUACGUCCUACGGGAGAAAGCGAGGGGGCCUUCGGGCCUUGCGCUAUCAGAUGAGCCUAGGUCGGAUUAGCUAGUUGGUGA